rnacentral:misc_RNA from 1 species
GCUCCCUUUCACCAUCAGACUUCUCUUCUUUGGAAUUAACAUUAGAUAUACGUUUUGCAAACUCAGCUGCUGCAGCUAAAUUUGGCGGCAAAGCCCCAGUACUGGCAGGUUGAACAGCCUGUAGUUCCUCAGCUGAGUAAUCAAUUGGAACCAGCGGCCUCAUCUUUUUCUCUUUCUGUGCUUCAUCAUCCUCCUCCUCAUGGAAAACUGAAGGUACAGCAGUCCGUUUUCCAGAUCCCACUAAACCAAAUCCUAACCUUUUUG